rnacentral:misc_RNA from 1 species
AAGUCGUAACAAGGUUUCCGUAGGUUCUAUAGGCAAUGUUUCCCCAAGCAUUCAGUGUCGGAAAGUGUCAUUGAUUGUGCAAGGAUAGCGCUUCUACGAUUCCUGUAGACCGUACACUCGGGCAGGAGCUUUGCCAAAGGGUCCCCAUGCCCCCUAAUAACCCCACAGUUUAAUGUGAAGCUCAAUGUAAUACAUUGGGUAAAAAAACCGAACAACUGUUAACAAUUGAUAUCUUGGUUCUC